GAGAUCUUAGUUUAAUGGUAGAACAUGUGCCUUUUAAGCAUUAUUAUCCGGGUUCGAUUCCUGGCGAUCUUA